rnacentral:rRNA from 1 species
UGGGGAAUAUUGCACAAUGGGGGAAACCCUGAUGCAGCAACGCCGCGUGAGUGAUGACGGCCUUCGGGUUGUAAAGCUCUGUCUUCAGGGACGAUAAUGACGGUACCUGAGGAGGAAGCCACGGCUAACUACGUGCCAGCAGCCGCGGUAAUACGGAGGUGGCGAGCGUUGUCCGGCUUUACUGGGCGUAAAGGGAGCGUAGGCGGACUUUUAAGUGAGAUGGGAAAUACCCGGGCUCAACGUGGGUGCUGCAUUUCAAACUGGAAGU